GACGAAGGGGGCUAGCGUUGUUCGGAAUUACUGGGCGUAAAGCGCGUGUAGGUGGUUGUCAUAGUCAGGUGUGAAAGCCUUGAGCUCAACUCAAGAAAUGCACUUGAUACUGGGCGACUAGAGGACCGGAGAGGAUAGUGGAAUUCCCAGUGUAGUGGUGAAAUACGUAGAGAUUGGGAAGAACACCAGUGGCGAAGGCGGUUGCCUGGAGCUUUGCUGACGCUGAGGCGCGAAAGCGUGGGGAGCGAUCCGG
rnacentral:rRNA from 1 species